rnacentral:rRNA from 1 species
AGAUGAGAUUUCCCAUAGCGUAAGCUAGUAAGACCCCUUGAAGACUACAAGGUUGAUAGGUCAGAGGUGUAAGUGUGGCAACAUAUUUAGCUGACUGAUACUAAUAGGUCGAGGGCUUGACCAAUAA